rnacentral:lncRNA from 1 species
AUGGGGGGGCUGCAUCAACAGAGCACAGGGAUGAUCCUCCGCUGUCUGUUUACAUCGCUGCAGUGCAUUCUGGGAGGUCACCCCGCAACCUGGGGCAGGCAUGCUGUUUCACUGGAUAGAGGAGGAAAAAAAAGCAUGCAGAGGAGCAGCGGGUCAGAAAGACCAGACUCAUUUCACACAGAGAGAAGAAGUCAGGCCGUCAGAUAUGAAGAACUGUCCCUGCGUCUCAACUCACAGAUCAGAGGCUUUUCCACUGGCCUGUACUUACUUUUCCUGCAUUAAAACAGGCCUGACAAAACUUUCCCAAAGCUUUCUGAUGGCGUUCAGCAUUCGCCUUGGGGGAAAUAACAAGCUGCUUGC